rnacentral:rRNA from 1 species
UAUGGAGGGUGCAAGCGUUAUCCGGAUUCACUGGGUUUAAAGGGUGCGUAGGUGGGCAGGUAAGUCAGUGGUGAAAUCUCUGGGCUUAACCCGGAAACUGCCGUUGAUACUAUCUGUCUUGAAUAUAGUGGAGGUGAGCGGAAUAUGACAUGUAGCGGUGAAAUGCUUAGAUAUGACAUAGAACAUCGAUUGCGAAGGCAGCUCGCUACACUAUGAUUGACACUGAGGCACGAAAGCGUGGGGAUCAAACAGG